ACUUUCCUUUCCUUUCCUUUCCUUUCCUUUCCUUUCCUUUCCUUUUCUUUCCUUUCCUUUCCUUUUCUCUUCCUUCCUCCCUCCCUCCUUCCCUUCCCUUCCCUUCCUUCCUUCCUUUUUUUUUUUUUUGGACAGGGUUUAUCUGUGUAACCCUGGCUAUUCUGGAACUCUGUAUAUGUAGACCAGAAUAGCCUGGAACUCACAGCUCUGCCCUACCCCUACCUCCAAGUGCUGGGAUUAAAGGUAUGCACCAUAAACACCCAGCUCUUGUUGGUUUUAUAUUGCAAUUUCUUUUUUGGAUUUACUUUAUUAUUUUGUAUGUCUGAAUGAUUUGCCUGCAUGCAUGUAUGUGUGUGUACCACGUGUUUGCCUGAUGUCUGAGACAGUCAGAAGAGGGCUUCAGCAUCCCGGGCACUGGAGCUACAGAUGGUUGUAAGCCACAGUGUGGGUGCUGGAAGCAAACCCACAUCCUCUGCAAGAGCCACAGU
rnacentral:lncRNA from 1 species